GAUGAACGCUGGCGGCGUGCCUAAUACAUGCAAGUCGAGCGAACGGACGAGAAGCUUGCUUCUCUGAUGUUAGCGGCGGACGGGUGAGUAACACGUGGAUAACCUACCUAUAAGACUGGGAUAACUUCGGGAAACCGGAGCUAAUAGCGGAUAAUAUUUUGAACCGCAUGGUUCAAAAGUGAAAGACGGUCUUGCUGUCACUUAUAGAUGGAUCCGCGCUGCAUUAGCUAGUUGGUAAGGUAAAGGCUUACCAAGGCAACGAUGCAUAGCCGACCUGAGAGGGUGAUCGGCCACACUGGAACUGAGACACGGUCCAGACUCCUAAGGUAGGCAGCAGUAGGGAAUCGUCCGCAAUGGGCGAAAGCCUGACGGAGCAACGCCGCGUGAGUGAUGAAGGUCUUCGGAUCGUAAAACUCUGUUAUUAGGGAAGAACAUAUUUGUAAGGAACUGUGCACAUCUUGACGGUACCUAAUCAGAAAGCCACGGCUAACUACGUG
rnacentral:rRNA from 1 species